CAACAUGACCUUCAUCAUCUGGACACUUUUAUACUGCUUCGUACUACAAGAGUCUAGAGCUCAGAUCACAGUCACUCAGCGUCCUUCAGCGAAAAUUGCCACACCAGGAGAAAAUGUUGAGAUUAACUGUAGUCUCAGUAGUCCUGCAUACUGCACAACACCCUGUGUGGCCUGGUACUUACAGAAACCUGGAAAACCUGCUAAACUCCUGAUUUAUUGGACCAAAAGCCGCACGUCAGGAACUCCAACUAGAUUCAAUGGCAAUGGAUCUCACACUGAUUUAACUCUGACCAUCAGUGGAGUCCAGACUGAAGAUGCUGGACAUUAUUACUGUCAGAGUUUUCACUGCAGAAUAAAUUAUAAUGGCAGCUGUGAGGGUGAUCGUGUGUUCACACAGUGAUAAAGCGUGGUACAAAAACCUGUGUCAGUCAGAGUCACAGUGACUGAACUGAUGCUGCAGCUGCUCAAACACUAUCACUCACUACUGACACACAGAGACCAAACACACAACUACACAUGAGCUCACAACUGAGUCAGGAGUCAAAUCAGCUCUAUUAGACUGGGAUCUGUCCUGUGACAGACGGGUUUGACUCAGCUAUGCUCAGAAUCAGAGAAAACACAGGGUCUAAGUUUACAUAUAUUGAAGUAGCCUAUAGUAAAGUUGUUGUGUAGCAGCAACAACAUAUACACAGUGAAAUAUAAAGUGAAAGAAACCAGCUGUACAGCUGAUGCUGAAUACCUCUGUCUAAGUCUGAGACCUUUUUAUCUUCUGAGGGACUUGUAUAGUGUAUAGUAUAUCCCUCUCAAUGGUAAUGCAUCCAGAUC